rnacentral:rRNA from 1 species
AUGAACGAGUUCCAUGCAGGCACCACUGAUCUUCUGCGCAUCAAUACUGCCCACAUUCUGCUCCUUCCCAAAAAAUCAGAUGCUUCUACACCUGAGAACUAUAGGCCGUUUUCCCUCCAAAAUUUCUCAAUUAAGCUUAGGUCCAAGUGCCUCUCCUUAAGGGCUCAAACCCUCGUCACUCAAAUCAUCCACUACAAUCAAACCGGCUUUGUCAAAGGACGUGGGAUUGCCGAAAACUUUCUUCACGCUACUGAUAUUGUCCAAACUUGUUUCAAGCGACGGCUACCUGCAAUCGUCCUUAAGCUAGAUUUUCACAAGGCCUUUGACUCAGUUUCUUGGACUGUCCUUGCCAACAUCCUGAAGGCUCAAGGAUUCCCACCGCUCUGGUGCCGUUGGGUGCAAAGCUUAAACACCACAGCCAGCUCGGCUGUUCUCCUGAACGGUAAGCCGGGGCACUGGUUUCAGUGCCGCCAAGGCUUGCGACAAGGCGAUUCCCUAUCUCCAUAUCUCUUCAUCUUGGUGGUUGAUGUCUUAAAAUGA